GGGGUUCUAGCUCAUCGGUAGAGCGCUCCCUUAGCAAACAUUCAUUGGAUGUACUUAGCUGGGAGAAGUAAUGGGUUCGACUCCUAUGUACUCCA